GCUCCGAUGGCCUAAUUGGUUAGAGAGUCCGCCUCGGUUGCGGGAGAUCGCAGGUUCAAACCCAGGCCUGAUUAUAGCA